GGGUUGUGAGGUUAAGCGACUAAGCGUACACGGUGGAUGCCCUGGCAGUCAGAGGCGAUGAAGGACGUGCUAAUCUGCGAUAAGCGCCGGUAAGGUGAUAUGAACCGUUAUAACCGGCGAUUUCCGAAUGGGGAAACCCAGUGUGAUUCGUCACACUAUCAUUAACUGAAUCCAUAGGUUAAUGAGGCGAACCGGGGGAACUGAAACAUCUAAGUACCCCGAGGAAAAGAAAUCAACCGAGAUUCCCCCAGUAGCGGCGAGCGAACGGGGAGGAGCCCAGAGCCUGAAUCAGCAUGUGUGUUAGUGGAAGCGUCUGGAAAGGCGCGCGAUACAGGGUGACAGCCCCGUACACAAAAGCGCAUGUGCUGUGAGCUCGAUGAGUAGGGCGGGACACGUGGUAUCCUGUCUGAAUAUGGGGGGACCAUCCUCCAAGGCUAAAUACUCCUGACUGACCGAUAGUGAACCAGUACCGUGAGGGAAAGGCGAAAAGAACCCCGGCGAGGGGAGUGAAAAAGAACCUGAAACCGUGUACGUACAAGCAGUGGGAGCACAGGUUUACCUGUGUGACUGCGUACC
rnacentral:rRNA from 2 species